rnacentral:rRNA from 1 species
GUCCAGACUCCUACGGGAGGCAGCAGUGGGGGAUAUUGCACAAUGGAGGAAACUCUGAUGCAGCGACGCCGCGUGAGGGAAGACGGUCUUCGGAUUGUAAACCUCUGUCUUUGGGGAAGAAAAUGACGGUACCCAAAGAGGAAGCUCCGACUAACUACGUGCCAGCAGCCGCGGUAAUACGGAGGGUGCGAGCGUUAAUCGGAAUCACUGGGCGUAAAGCGCGCGUAGGCGGCUUUUCAAGUCAGGGGUGAAAUCCCACGGCCCAACCGUGGAACUGCCUUUGAAACUGUAGAGCUUGAGUGUCGGAGAGGGUGGCGGAAUUCCAGGUGUAGGAGUGAAAUCCGUAGAUAUCUGGAGGAACACCGGUGGCGAAGGCGGCCACCUGGACGACAACUGACGCUGAGGUGCGAAAGCGUGGGUAGCAAACAGGAUUAGAUACCCUAGUA